GACGAACGCUGGCGGCGUGCUUAACACAUGCAAGUCGAACGGAAAGGCCCUGCUUUUGUGGGGUGCUCGAGUGGCGAACGGGUGAGUAACACGUGAGUAACCUGCCCUUGACUUUGGGAUAACUUUAGGAAACUGGGGCUCAUACCGGAUAGGAGCUCCUGCUGCAUGGUGGGGGUUGGAAAGUUUCGGCGGUUGGGGAUGGACUGGCGGCUUAUCAGCUUGUUGGUGGGGUAGUGGCUUACCAAGGCUUUGACGGGUAGCCGGCCUGAGAGGGUGACCGGCCACAUGGGGACUGAGAUACGGCCCAGAAGCCUACCGGAGGCAGAAGUGGAGGGUAUUGCGCAAUGGGCGGAAGCCAGAUGCAGCAACGUCGCGAGCGGGAUGACGGCCUUCGAGUUGUAAACCGAUGUCGACUGUGACAAAGCGGUAGUGACGGUAAUGGGUAAGGAAGCAACGGCUAACUACGUG
rnacentral:rRNA from 1 species